rnacentral:rRNA from 1 species
GAUGAACGCUAGCUACAGGCUUAACACAUGCAAGUCGCGGGGUAACAUCUGGUAGAGCUUGCUCUUCCAGGAUGACGACCGGCGCACGGGUGAGUAACGCGUAUCCAACCUGGCCCAUACCACGGGAUAGCCCGUCGAAAGGCGGAUUAAUACCGUAUGCUGUCAUUAAGAUGCAUAUAUUGAUGACGAAAGGACUGGCGGUAUGGGAUGGGGAUGCGUCUGAUUAGCUUGUUGGCGGGGUAACGGCCCACCAAGGCGACGAUCAGUAGGGGUUCUGAGAGGAAGGUCCCCCCACAUUGGAACUGAGACACGGUCCAAAACUCCUACGGGAGGCAGCAGUGAGGAAUAUUGGUCAAUGGGCGAGAGCCUGAACCAGCCAAGUAGCGUGCAGGAAGACGGCCCUAUGGGUUGUAAACUGCUUUUAUAAGGGAAUAAAGUGAGCCUCGUGAGGCUUUUUGCAUGUACCUUAUGAAUAAGGACCGGCUAAUUCCGUGCCAG